UCCUGGAGACUCCAGGACAAUCCUGGAGACUUGGCAACCCUACGCAGGAAAUCAACUUAGAUUACCAUAAUGGUCCCAUGUGGCCUUAACAUCUAUUACUUCAAGAUGAGUAUUUGUGGAAUAAGGUACUACUCAGCAUGAUUUUUGGCAGUGGAGGAGAGUCAAAGCUGCUGUUACUAAAUUUGAACAAUUAGACAUGAAGGGGCCUGCAGCAGAUACGGUAUUGCAGAGCUGACUUUGCAUCCCUGGCCACCAGAAGCAGAGCUGAUAUUGCAAGACUGGACCAAGUAGCAGCAUGCAGAGUGGGAAGGGUGGGGCAGUUCUCUCUGGACGAGAGCAGACUGGCAGAGGAGUGACACCACAUGAAUACUACUGAAUCAAAGGCCAUGUCUACACUACAAAAUUAUGUCAACCUAACUUAU